rnacentral:lncRNA from 1 species
CUGUGUGGAUAUCAUUGUUUGCUGUUGGGGCAUGCCACCUGUUCCCAUGGUUUGAGCCCAGGCAUCUACCAAUGGGGGCAAUGUGAAAGUUUUAUGCAUUAACUUGGAAGUGCAAUUCACUCACGAUUCACUGUUUUUGGUGUAUGAUGCAGGCCCUAGAUACAAAAAGUGUUGUUGGACUCCACUGAAGUUCAAAGUGACUGUGAAUCUUGAGUCUCUUGUAGUAAUGGGGGUCUUGGUUUGUAUACCAAGGUUCAUCCUGUUCCCCAUGUUUACUGGGAAUGGGUAUUUACUAAUAGAUCAGUGCAAAAUACCGUGGACUGAAGAAUAUGGAUCCAACUGCAGGUCAGAAUUAAGGUGUCUAGGCAAACCUAUGUGAUGGAAGCUAGUUCAAUUCUUUAAUGUGCUCUUCUAAUGUAAUAAAAUACUCUGUACAUACUUAGCCAAUCAAUAUUGUGAGCAUGAAACCAGAAAAAAAUGAAAUAUUCAUGUUUUGGGGAAAGGAGUAACAGUCUUACUUCUGAUUUAAUAAUCUUGGAAAACUACCACCCUCUGAUUUCAUAUUCAGAAACAAAAAUGCACAUUUGAAUCUUUGCUUCACCCCUAAGCAUGCAUUAGAAGGGUGGUGAAAAUCCGCCUUGAAUACAGCAAGGAUAAUUGAUAAGGGUAAUUGGGGACCUGCUAUUCGGAACAUAGAGAGAUGACUUGAACAUGCACAGAAAAUCAGUAUUUCAAGCUGGCACAGACAUAACAUUGCUGUUAUGUAUGCUAAGGAUGAAAUGCUCUAAUUGUAUUUGUUAAUUGUGUAUGGCUCACCCAGCCCACCCAGGAUUUGGAAGUGGAAGAGUGACGGUGGGGGGUGGGGCAUGGAUUUGGAAGCAGGAAACUGGCAGGAACGGGAUAAGAUUCCUCUCAUCUUGGAGACUGUGACCUGCGUGGCUGUAUUUAGGAGCAAAUGAAAUGAAAAGGGAAACACUAAGGUAAAAGCUACAUCUGAUGUCAUGUUAAGUCCAAAAAAUAACAGCUUUUACAGAUUUGAUAUGUGUUUAAAGCAGGCAGGUGGGUUGACAAGAGUUACUUCUACCACUUAUCCAACGUCUUGGCUCCAUCCAUCUUUCACUCUCUGCCCUGCCCCACACCCAUCUGUUCCAUAAGACCUCUGCCAAGACCUUGGUGGAAUUUGAUUGGGAAGGGAUUCUGCUUACACACUUUGCUUCUUCCUGAACCCUUGUCUAAGGCACACAAAUGGCCCCCGCUUCAGCUUCUCCACACAAUGGAACUUCCCACACUCUGCUAGACAGUUGUCAUGUUUAAUUUGUCUCCUUAGGUCAUUUUAAAUGUGAGCUUCUGCUUCUAAUGUGAAUGUAAAACCUGCAUUGGCUGCAACAUUUUUUAUUUUUCUUCUGAAUUCUCUCUCAUAUUGAUAGCAUUCAUAUGUACCCCAAGAAGUGUGAGAGAGACCCAAACGGUUUUGAGUAAAAUAAAAUAAAAUCCUGCUAUAGGGACUAGUAUAGUCCCCAAAACUGAAGGCCAUGCCUUGAUUUGAAGUCAGACGUUGACACUAGAUAUUAAAGUUCAGUCAUGGAUAGUCAUGCAGGGUUUAUUGGUAACAGUUGUAGCAAUGCCUAGUUGUGAGAAAUACAUUUAAUUCCCACCCCACCCCCCAUGUAAUUCUGUCUUAUCAUUUGCCAGUUUUUGUACCACUGUAGCUUCAACUAGCCUCCUGAACUAUCAAAAGAGCAAGGGGAAUACUAUUGCCUCAGUAACCCUUUUGUAAUUUGUCUGUGUUUUCAUAAAUGUACUUGUGGUGACCUUCUUUGCCCUCUUUUAAUUCUUAUGCCUUUUCCUAAACCAAAAGUUAGGGAAAGGCAUAGAGUAAUACUUGCAAAUGGGAAAUGCUAAUUUAUUCAAUCUGAACGUUCGCUAUCUGCUUAAGGGGAUCACUUGACUAAAACAAAUAUAUAUCAGAUGAACAUAGCAAAGGUCAUUACAAAAAACAAGUAUUUCUAAAGGGUCUCCCCAUUAUCUCUAAUGGGCCCCAAAUAUAAUUUCUUUUUUGAAUUGAAUUUGUCAAGCAACAUCUUGAUUUCUGCCCCUCCCCUGCAAAUGAACAGAUCCACUUACCACUUAACACAUCAAUUGGCCUGUGUGUAUAACAUGCAGAUUUGGGUUUCUUUUUGAGUCCAUUGUUGGAGAUUCCGUUUCCGCAAAGGAAAUGCAAGCCUACUGACACACACCAAGCUAGAAAACUAAUUUGUACCUUUUUGAAUUUAUAAUCUUGCCUAUGCUUCUAUGGACACUUUGUAUGGGCUGCAGCUCAACUCCUUAAAAUCAGCAAAGAAUUUUUCCUUUCCCAUAUAGUAUUCUCUUUUAUUUGACUUUUAAAAUGCGUAUAAAUGCAAUAAUGCAGGUAGACUAGAAAUACUAGAUUGAAAAUUAAAGUAGUUUAGCUUGUCCCAUUGUGACCUACAGUGUUGUAUGUCACCCAACGCUGUAUCCUAGCAUUCUCGAGGCUUUCCUACGUAGCUGAAUCUAGUAUUAGCUUUGAAAAUCCAUUGUGUGAAUGGCGGGUGGGUUGAUUGGGAAAGUGUACGCUUUUACACAACGUAUGUUACUUGCAUCAGAAGCUAUAUGGCCACUCCAUAUACUAUGGAACUGUAAAUGAUUCCCAAUAUACCUGUAACUCUUAUCAAGAUUGUGUGAAAUAAACUAUAUAUAUAUGUAUAUUG